CAAAGGUAGCAUAAUCAGUUGGCUUUUAAUUAAAGUCUNGUAUGACGAAAGCAUGGGUGGAAACUGUCUUAGUAUAUUAAUUUGAACUUAUUUAGCAAGUGCAAAUACUUGCAAGUUUAAAAAAGACGAGAAGACCCUAGAAACUUGGAAUAGUUUUUGUUGGGGCGACAGAAUUACAUUUAACUAAUUCUUAUGACAUGACAUAAAAUUGGCAGAAUAAGUUACUCUAGGGAUAACAGCAUAAUUUUAAUAGUUUGUGACCUCGAUGUUGGAUUAG
rnacentral:rRNA from 1 species